rnacentral:tmRNA from 1 species
GGGGGUGAUUCGGAUUCGACGCUGGUAUCAACUCCUAAGGUGCAUGUCGAGAGGGUAGUAACUCUCGUAAAACAAUUACUGCAAUUUAUUAGUUGCCAACGACGACAACUACGCUCUAGCUGCUUAAUAUAGCCGGCUAGCGAUUGCCACGGGGAUUCCCGUAAACCAGUGAUUGCAAUCGUCAUAUAGAACGGGACCGCUACAUUGAGUGUCUGGCUUCUUGUAGUUAAAUCUUUCAGACUCGCCCUAACUCACCCUGCCCGUCGGGUCGAUAAGGGCUAACUCAAUAGACGACGCUAAGCAUGUAGAUCUUUAGGCUGCGAACUGACGGACGGGGGUUCAACUCCCCCCGCCUCCACCA